rnacentral:tRNA from 1 species
AGUAGUUAAACYCUACUAUUAAGGG